rnacentral:rRNA from 1 species
ACUCAAAGGAAUUGACGGGGGCCCGCACAAGCGGAGGAGCAUGUGGUUUAAUUCGAUGAUACGCGAGGAACCUUACCCGGGCUUGAAAGUUAUGGAAUGAUGUGGAAACAUGUCAGUCAGCAAUGACCAGAAACUAGGUGCUGCAUGGCUGUCGUCAGCUCGUGCCGUGAGGUGUUAGGUUAAGUCCUGCAACGAGCGCAACCCCUAUCAUUAGUUGCCAUCAGGUAAAGCUGGGGACUCUAAUGAGACUGCCCGCGCAAGCGGUGAGGAAGGUGGGGAUGACGUCAAGUCAUCACGGCCCUUACGUCCGGGGCUACACACGUGCUACAAUGGCAGGUACAAUGGGCAGCUACAUGGUAACAUGAUGCUAAUCUCCAAAGCCUGUCUCAGUUCGGAUUGAGGUCUGCAACUCGACCUCAUGAAGCUGGAUUCGCUAGUAAUCGUAUAUCAGCAAUGAUACGGUGAAUACGUUCCCGGGCCUUGUACACACCGCCCGU